AGCGAACGCUGGCGGCAGGCCUAACACAUGCAAGUCGAGCGCCCCGCAAGGGGAGCGGCAGACGGGAGAGUAACACGUGGGAACGUGCCCUUUGGUUCGGAACAACCCAGGGAAACUUGGGCUGAUAACGGACAAGCCCUCACGGGGAAAGAUUUAUCGCCGAAGGAUCGGCCCGCGUCUGAUUAGCUAGUUGGUGGGAUAAUGGCCCACCAAGGCGACGAUCAGUAGCUGGUCUGAGAGGAUGAUCAGCCUCACUGGGACUGAGACACGGCCCAGACUCCUACGGGAGGCAGCAGUGGGGAAUAUUGGACAAUGGGCGCAAGCCUGAUCCAGCCAUGCCGCGUGGGUGAUGAAGGCCCUAGGGUUGUAAAGCCCUUUCGGCGGGGAAGAUAAUGACGGUACCCGCAGAAGAAGCCCCGGCUAACUUCGUGCCAGCAGCCGCCGUAA
rnacentral:rRNA from 1 species